CUCAGAUUGAACGCUGGCGGCAGGCCUAACACAUGCAAGUCGAGCGGUAACAGAGAGUAGCUUGCUACUCUGCUGACGAGCGGCGGACGGGUGAGUAAUGCUUGGGAAUAUGCCUUAUGGUGGGGGACAACAGUUGGAAACGACUGCUAAUACCGCAUGAUGUCUACGGACCAAAGUGGGGGACCUUCGGGCCUCACGCCAUAAGAUUAGCCCAAGUGGGAUUAGCUAGUUGGUGAGGUAAUGGCUCACCAAGGCGACGAUCCCUAGCUGGUUUGAGAGGAUGAUCAGCCACACUGGGACUGAGACACGGCCCAGACUCCUACGGGAGGCAGCAGUGGGGAAUAUUGCACAAUGGGCGCAAGCCUGAUGCAGCCAUGCCGCGUGUGUGAAGAAGGCCUUCGGGUUGUAAAGCACUUUCAGUAAGGAGGAAAGGUUAAGUGUUAAUAGCACUUAGCUGUGACGUUACUUACAGAAGAAGCACCGGCUAACUCCGU
rnacentral:rRNA from 1 species